GCCUCCUUAGCUUAGUGGUAGAGUGUCAACCUUGUAAACUGGAGGUCGUGGGUUGGAGUUCCACAGGUGGCA
rnacentral:tRNA from 1 species